rnacentral:rRNA from 1 species
AUUGAACGCUGGCGGCAGGCUUAACACAUGCAAGUCGAACGAGUGGCGGACGGGUGAGUAAUGCCUGGGAAACUGGCUGAUGGAGGGGGAUAACUACGGGAAACUGUAGCUAAUACCGCAUACCAUAGGAUGAGCCCAGGUGGGAUUAGGUAGUUGGUGGGGUAAAGGCUCACCAAGGCGACGAUCCCUAGCUGGUCUGAGAGGAUGACCAGCCACACUGGGACUGAGACACGGCCCAGACUCCUACGGGAGGCAGCAGUGGGGAAUAUUGCGCAAUGGGGGCAACCCUGACGCAGCCAUGCCGCGUGAAUGAAGAAGGCCUUCGGGUUGUAAAGUUCUUUCGGUAGCGAGGCGUUACCUACAGAAGAAGCACCGGCUAACUCCGUGCCAGCCGCCGCGGUAAUAC